GAUGAACGCUGGCGGCGUGCCUAAUACAUGCAAGUCGAGCGAACAGACGAGGAGCUUGCUCCUCUGACGUUAGCGGCGGACGGGUGAGUAACACGUGGAUAACCUACCUAUAAGACUGGGAUAACUUCGGGAAACCGGAGCUAAUACCGGAUAAUAUAUUGAACCGCAUGGUUCAAUAGUGAAAGACGGUUUUGCUGUCACUUAUAGAUGGAUCCGCGCCGCAUUAGCUAGUUGGUAAGGUAACGGCUUACCAAGGCAACGAUGCGUAGCCGACCUGAGAGGGUGAUCCGCCACACUGGAACUGAGACACGGUCCAGACUCCUACGGGAGGCAGCAGUAGGGAAUCUUCCGCAAUGGGCGAAAGCCUGACGGAGCAACGCCGCGUGAGUGAUGAAGGUCUUCGGAUCGGAAAACUCUGUUAUUAGGGAAGAACAAAUGUGUAAGUAACUAUGCACGUCUUGACGGUACCUAAUCAGAAAGCCACGGCUAACUACGUG
rnacentral:rRNA from 1 species